rnacentral:rRNA from 1 species
CCUACGGGUGGCAGCAGUGAGGAAUAUUGGUCAAUGGGCGCGAGCCUGAACCAGCCAAGUAGCGUGAAGGAUGACUGCCCUACGGGUUGUAAACUUCUUUUAUAAACGAAUAAAGUGCGGCACGCGUGCCUUUUUGUAUGUACCUUAUGAAUGAGGAUCGGCUAACUCCGUGCCAGCAGCCGCGGUAAUACGGAGGAUCCGAGCGUUAUCCGGAUUUAUUGGGUUUAAAGGGAGCGUAGAUGGGUUGUUAAGUCAGUGGUGAAAGUUUGAGGCUCAACCGUAUAAUUACAAUUGAACCUGGCAGCCUUGGGUAGAGUGGAGGUAGGCGGAAUUCGGGGUGUAGCGGGAAAAUGCU